rnacentral:rRNA from 1 species
AGUGAACGCUGGCGAUAGGCCUAACACAUGCAAGUCGAACGGCAGCACAGUAAGAGCUUGCUCUUAUGGGUGGCGAGUGGCGGGCGGGUGAGGAAUACAUCGGAAUCUACUUUUUCGUGGGGGAUAACGUAGGGAAACUUACGCUAAUACCGCAUACGACCUACGGGUGAAAGCAGGGGAUCUUCGGACCUUGCGCGAUUGAAUGAGCCGAUGUCGGAUUAGCUAGUUGGCGGGGUAAAGGCCCACCAAGGCGACGAUCCGUAGCUGGUCUGAGAGGAUGAUCAGCCACACUGGAACUGAGACACGGUCCAGACUCCUACGGGAGGCAGCAGUGGGGAAUAUUGGACAAUGGGCGCAAGCCUGAUCCAGCCAUACCGCGUGGGUGAAGAAGGCCUUCGGGUUGUAAAGCCCUUUUGUUGGGAAAGAAAAGCAGCAGGUUAAUACCCCGCUGUUCUGACGGUACCCAAAGAAUAAGCACCGGCUAACUUCGUG